AUUGAACGCUGGCGGCAGGCCUAACACAUGCAAGUCGAGCGAGCGGCGGACGGGUGUGUAAUGUAUGGGGCUCCGCCCGAUAGAGGGGGAUAACUACUGGAAACGGUGGAUAAUACCGCAUAAUCUCGGGAGAACCAAUAUGGGAUUAUCUUGUAGGUGGGGUAAAGGCUCCUCUAGGCGACGACCUCUAGCUGGUCUGAGAGGAUGAUCAGCCACACUGGGACUGAGACACGGCCCAGACUCCUACGGGAGGCAGCAGUGGGGAAUAUUGCACAAUGGGCGCAAGCCUGAUGCAGCCAUGCCGCGUGUAUGAAGAAGGCCUUAGGGUUGUAAAGUACUUUCAGCUGGGAGGCGUUACCGGCAGAAGAAGCACCGGCUAACUCCGUGCCAGCAGCCGCGGUAAUAC
rnacentral:rRNA from 1 species